rnacentral:lncRNA from 1 species
AAUGCAUGCCCACGAUGUUCGCUCAAGCGCUGAGAACACGAGAAUGUAGCGGCCAGGCGCGGAAGUCGACUGGUGUGGGUGAAAUUGCUCGUCGGACUUCUGCUGGGCCGCUGAUCCGCCCCUCGCUGUGGGCAAACUUCACCAUGGCGUUAUCACCGGUAAGAUCCCUCCCCAAAGGCUCGCUUUCUCCUCCUCUGUGUGUAGCCUUGGUCGAAGCCGGAUUUCAUUUGCGUGCGUGUUGGAGUGGCGUUGCUCCGGCGGGGUCACGGCCGUGGCGGGUGUGUGCACCACUGUGCCCAGUCUGCCGGAGGUAGGAGAUAGGGUCUGGAUCGUUGAUUGGCCAAUGAACGACCCAGAUUGGGUCGGUGCCUGACGCCUCGGCCUGGGAGAUCAUCACCGUCCAUUUUGAUCGGACGGGCGAUGCUGGAUUAGCCCUCAUAAAAUCUCCACCGUAGGACUGCGAUCAGACGGAUCGCGCUAAAGACUAUUUCGAUUAAAUAACAAUCAAAUCAAUGUCGUCCGUAGGUGAUCCAACGGAUAUCGUUGGUCCAUACCCCUUAGGCCGUGACACUUUGCAUACGAGCCCCUGUGCUUCACAGUAAUCAACCCGCCGUCCUCGGCCAGUGUAAAGUAAUUGCUAUUAAGCCCUAGAUAUUUAUAAAUUGGCCCCUGCUGUUCUCUGUUUUUGUGCGCGUGGUCCAGGGAGCAGAGAAAAUAAAUAAAUAAUUACAGCAAAUGGUUUUUAGUAUAUAAAUAAUUCCAGAAACUCAUUUUAUUCAUAGAAAAUUCAUACUAACUCCUUUUUAGUCCCUUCAAGUUCCUAUAAUUUUAUAUUAAUAUUGUCUAUCAACUAGUAACACUGUUUAGCCAUGAAACUUGAAUUAAAAUUUUUCAUUAGGAUUAAUCUAUUCUAAGCACUAAAUAAUUUCAUAAAUUCAUAACUUAAUAAUCGUAGCUCCGAAUUUAGUGAUUCUUGUUUCUACAAUCUCGUUACGCAGCGUCGAAUAUUAUUAUGCAUUUUGUUCUUAUAUUUGGUGUGGUGUUAAUUUUGUCCAUACUAUGUUUGUUUGUAUUGCUACGACUAGCAGUGAGGUCACGAGGAUCUGAAGAAUCACCCUGGUAAUUGAAAUCUCAAGUGCCAGGCAAGUUGUGCCCUUGAUUCACUUUGGUUACCCAAUAAUGUUCGUUAUUAUCACUAUUCAAUGCAUAGGUUUAAUUUUGAUGGGACCCAAUAGGUCACUCUAGUCUGUUAUCCUUUUUACCUUGUUUACCCCUGAAUCAUAUGGGUAGUUUUUGCUAUUGCUUUAUAUGGUUUUGGGAUUAAUACUAUUUUAUGUUCAUGCUCCAAUUAUUAUGUUGUUUUAUUUCUGUUCAUGUCAAGAUCAUUAUAUUAUUGUUAAUUGGAACAUGGAGCUUAACUUGAGAAACACGUGCCACUACAAGGGAGGAAUGAGACCCCUUGGCUAACUAAUUAGGAAAGCUAGUGGAAGACUACCUUACCCGAAAGGGGCAAGGGCAGUAGGAGAGUUGCAUGCAAGGAGGUUCUCGGGUUGAUUUUGCUGCGAUGGCGGUCUGACGGGGGAUUCUUGCAAGUGCUCUUCCCAUAAACUAUAGCGGGUUUUCGGAAGCUAGUGGAACUUUGUAAAGGCCUUGUAGUGUUGCCCUGCCUCGCUUCCUAGGUAGAGGUGUAUGGGAGUCGCGAUCCCUUGGCAGAUGAGUAACAUGACUUGUGGGUAAAGGGUACAACCUCUACAGAGUGUAAAACUGGUAUACUAGCCGAGCUCACGGUCAUGAGCAGCUCAGGUCUCUCUGAUGAUUAAUCUAUGGAACUUAAAUUCAAUUUGUCAUAUGCAUUGAAUGGGAUCAUUUGUUAUUAAUUUUGUUUUAUUAUUUAUUGUGGUUUGGUAUUUACUUAUAUUUAGUAACUGCUAAUAAAAUUUUGACCAACUUAUUAAAAGCAAUGCUCAGCUUUAACCAUUCUCUUUGGUAAGCCUUACACUUUACAUGAUCUCCCACCUUUGGUGAGUUCAUGUCACAUUACUCCCCACAACUUGUUGAGCGAUGAACAUGUGUAAGUUCACCCUUGCUGUCUCACAUCCCCCCACAGGUCAAGAACAGGUACCACUGGAUGAGGCGCAAGGUAGAUGUUGCGCUAUGUUCGUGAGCGGUCUAGGUCGUCGUCUCCCAGUUAACUUUCUUGCGCCAAGAGCGAUCCUUAGUUCGUUUGAUAUUUAUAAUUUAUUUUUUAAGUCUU